GAUGAACGCUAGCGGCAGGCCUAAUACAUGCAAGUCGAACGGAUAUAUGUUUUUCGGAAUAUAUAUUAGUGGCGCACGGGUGAGUAACACGUACAUAACUUGCCCUCAAGCGGGGGAUAGCCUUGGGAAACUGAGAGUAAUACCCCAUAGAAUUAUUGGACGGCAUCGUUUGAUAAUUAAAACUACGGUGCUUGGGGAUAGAUGUGCGUCUGAUUAGCUAGUUGGUGAGGUAACUGCUCACCAAGGCGACGAUCAGUAGGGGGCGUGAGAGCGUGGCCCCCCCACACGGGGUACUGAGACACGGACCCGACUCCUACGGGAGGCAGCAGUAAGGAAUAUUGGUCAAUGGAGGGAACUCUGAACCAGCCAUGCCGCGUGAAGGAUGACGGCCCUCUGGGUUGUAAACUUCUUUUGGAUGGGGCGAAAAAACGGGAUUUAUCUUGGACUGACGGUACCAUCAGAUAAGCACCGGCUAACUCCGUG
rnacentral:rRNA from 1 species